GGGCCAGUGGCGCAAUGGAUAACGUGUCUGACUACGGAUCAGAAGUUUUUAGGUUCGACUCCUGGCUGGCUUG
rfam:Salmo salar isolate Sally breed double haploid chromosome ssa12, whole genome shotgun sequence.